UACAGAGGGGGCAAGCGUUGUUCGGAAUUACUGGGCGUAAAGGGCGCGUAGGCGGCCUGUUAAGUCGAACGUGAAAUCCCUGGGCUCAACCCAGGAACUGCGUCCGAUACUGGCAGGCUUGAAUCCGGGAGAGGGAUGUGGAAUUCCAGGUGUAGCGGUGAAAUGCGUAGAGAUCGGGAAGAACAUCAGUGGCGAAGGCGGCCUGCUGGGCUGUUGCUGACGCUGAGGCGCGACAGCGUGGGGAGCAAACAGG
rnacentral:rRNA from 1 species